UACAGAGGGGGCGAGCGUUGUUCGGAAUUACUGGGCGUAAAGGGCGCGUAGGCGGCCUUCUAAGUCGAACGUGAAAUCCCCGGGCUCAACCCGGGAACUGCGUCCGAUACUGGGAGGCUUGAAUCCGGGAGAGGGAUGUGGAAUUCCAGGUGUAGCGGUGAAAUGCGUAGAUAUCAGGAGGAACACCGGUGGCGAAAGCGCUCAUCUGGCCCAAUACUGACGCUGAGGCGCGAAAGCUAGGGGAGCAAACGGG
rnacentral:rRNA from 1 species